rnacentral:rRNA from 1 species
AUUGAACGCUGGCGGCAGGCCUAACACAUGUAAGUCGAACGAGUGGCGGACGGGUGCGUAAUGUCUGGUGAACUGCCCGCUGGCGGGGGAUAGCUACUGGAAACGGUAGCUACUACCUCAUACAAUCGGAUGUGCCCAGAUGGGGUUAUCUCGUAGGUGGGGUAACGGCUCACCUAGGCGACGAUCCCUAGCUGGUCUGAGAGGAUGACCAGCCACACUGGAACUGAGACACGGUCCAGACUCCGACGGGAGGCAGCAGUGGGGAAUCUUGCACAAUGGGCGCAAGCCUGAUGCAGCAAUGCCGCGUGUAUGAAGAAGGUCUUCGGGUUGUAAAGUACUUGCAGCGAGGAGGCGUUACUCGCAGAAGAAGCACCGGCUAACUCCGUGCCAGCCGCCGCGGUAAUUC